UAUUACCUUUCUAUAAAAGAAUUCCACCCCCAUCAAGAAUUUUCCUGUAAACCAAUGGAUUGCCAUCCUAGACAUAAAUUUCUCCUGAGAUCAAAUACUAUGUGCUUAUUAUCUCCAUACAAGAAAGAGUGUGCCUUGCUGUGCGAAGCUGCAGACUGUGGUGGCUCAGAAACACCUCCAACCUUCUUUGAGGCUCCAGCCUUUGAAAAGUAUGUGGUCAGCUGAAGGUAAAAACUGCUGUGCCUGUACAUUUUAAACCACUGGUGAGUCUUGGUCCUGAUUGCUCCUCACUGAACUGUACAAAUGUCUUCACACAGUUAAUCCCAGUGAGCCUGCAGUCUAUUGCAAAGCCUGAGCUUUGAAAUCUCUUUGUCGUAUAGUAUCUCUGGCUCACAACAGAGAUAGCAAAUCCAAGCUAAUGAUAACUGUGAAAAUGCAGUUUAUUUGCAAUUGCUUGAGUUUUUUCAAAUGACAAUGUGAAUAUCCCUUACAGCUAGAGAGCAACAACUGUUUCAAAUAAAUGCCUUAUAAUUAAGGUAAACA